CAUUUGUCUUUUAAAUGAAGACUUGUAUGAACGGCAAAACCUCCUCCAACUGUCUCCCCUCCCAUCCUUCCAAAUUUCCUCCUGUGUGAAGAAGCGCAGAUACACCAGAAAGACGAGAAGACCCUGUCGAGCUUUAACCACUAAGUGGGCCUUACCCUUUCAGGCACCACCCAAAGGUUUUGGUUGGGGCAACCACGGAGAAAAAACAUCCUCCAGAACGAAUAGAAGAAAGCUUUUCACUAUUAUUACGACUAAGAACCAGGAACUGGUAUUCGGAAAGAGUUACCGCAGGGAUAACAGCGUCAUCUCCUCUAAGAGUCCUUAUUGACGAGGAGGUUUGCGACCUCGAUGUUGGAUUGGGGCCCCCUUAGGGUGCAGAAGCUCUAAACGGUUAGACUGUUCGUCUAUUAAAGCCCUACAUGAUCUGAGUUCNAAACCGGAGAU
rnacentral:rRNA from 1 species